UCUAAAACAAAAUAAACAGACAUGUUUACUUCACAAUUCAUUUCAACUGCGCGCAAAUCAAACAAACUUAGGGUUUUGCCCCAAUUGCUGAUUAUUGCCUCCACCGCUAGUGCUUCUUCCUUCUUCUUUUUUUGGUGUAUACUCUUUCUCCUUCUUCCUUCUUCUUUUCUGUUUUUUUUCCUAUUAUAUUUUAUAUAUUUUGUAAAACAAUUCAUACAAAAUAUAAUUUUUAAUCUUUGAUUUUAGGGGUGUCUCACAUUUCGACCUCUAUUCUGUUUGCAAUUUUUGUUUUUGUGCUCUCCAAAAUUUCAAAGGCCAAGCCCCAACAAGUCGACAAGGUAUGUAGUCCUACUUUCUUGUUUUUAGUUUCUUAGCGAGGAUAAUCCUCAAUAAAAUAGUGAAUUUAGAGAUUUUCAGAUUAUCAAUCUUUGUUUUUUAAUUGAUUGUUGUCAUUUUUUUUUUUUGGUUGAUAAAGUAAUUGGCUUUGGCUUUGUUAGCAUCUAAAAUUAGCUAUCGGGUAAAUUAGUAGAUGGCACAAUAUAAAAAGAAAACUAAAGUAGCUUGAGUAGCUGACCAAUUAACAUAUCCAUGGCAAGCUGGAUACAGUUUUCUUUCUAAUUUGCAUAUUUGUGUAUCAAUAUAUCUUCAUAGGCAGCAUAUUUCUAAUAGGCCACAAACUUACAGUAAAGGUGGCCAAGAAAUUCAAAAAGGAAAAAACAACAUGAAAUGAUACAUUAAUCUCUGUUGAGCCUGAACAACUAAUGAUGCUUGUUAUUGAUCGUUUUCAGAACAUGAUAGGUCGUCGAGUGCAAUUGAAAUAAUAAUAUUUAUAUUCAUAUAUUAUGUUUGUCUGGUUCGCUACUUCUUAAAUGUAUAAUAAAUAUCGAGUGCAAUUGAAAUAAUAAUGUUUAUAUUCAUAUAUUAUGUUUGUCUGGUUCGCUACUUCUUAAAUGUAUAAUAAAUAUCGGUAUCUAUUCUUUAGUCUGCUUGUUAUUGUAUUUUAGUUUUGGGUCAUUGUCCUAUUUUAAAAUUUUGAACCCAUACACUUUAAAUCCUAGGUCCACCUCUGAUUCUAUCAAUUGUGUAACUUCCGCUUUUUAUAUUGUUCAUUUCUUGAUUUUUUUUUAAUCCAUUGAGACGAGAAAUGAACAAAAAAAAGAAAGACGAUAAUACAUUAUUGAAUAAAAAAUGAUGCAUCUAUCAUCUAUGAGCUUUAAAUGUAAUGAUGAAAAGGAGACAAUUUGAAAAUGACGGGGUUGUCUCUCCCAAAGAAAACAAGUUUGUUGUAAUAUUCUUAGUAAAAUGUUAACAACACAAUAAAAUUGCAAUAAUUAGACUGCAACUUCAACUCAAUCAAUAUUUGUAUUGGAGCAUGACUCUCUCUCUAUAUUAUUUCCUACACGAUGUUCGAUAUUCAUAUUGAGGUUCGAUUAAAAUUUAAAUUUUCACCAGAAGGUAUGAUAUUUGGAAAUAAAGUACUCUUUAACAAAUGCGAUUUCACACCCAAAACUCGACCUCCAAUUUAAAAAUAAAAAAGUACUUACCACUCUAUCAGAACUCAUAUUAGUUAUGCAUGUUUACGUGUAUAUAUCUGGCAAGUAGUGACAUAAGAGAGCACGGGACUCAUUCCCAAGCCUCCAUAGUCAAAAUAAAUAAUUAUAAGAUCCACUAAAUUAUGAAUUAAUAACUAUCUCCUAUGACACUUAUGUUUCUCUAUUCUCGUUUUGUACAUAAUAGAGGUUGAUUUCAUAUUAUUUUAAGUUUUGAGUAACCUACACAUUCAAUAAAAGUUUGACCAACUAGCUAGUUGGAUAACACAUAAUUCGAAAAAACAAAUCCAAACACAUGGCAAAAUAAUAAAAAUACUUUUAAAGUAGCUUAUUAAUUAUGCCGAAAGAAUCGUAUGAAAAUGCAACCGAAAAUAUACUUAUUUUUUGUGCAUAAAGUUCAUCUCUAAAUACUUUUUGUUUCUUUAGAUUCUUUAAGUUAUUGUCAUCCAAAGGCAAAAGUUGGUCAAAUUACAAAGCAUUACUCAACAAUUUCAAAACAUUUGUUAUGCGUACGUGGUGUGGUCAACAUAAAGUCAGCAUAAAAUGGCCUACAGAUCUGCCUUUACACCUCAAGAUAAGAUGAAAAAAAGGCAAGAUAAGGUAACUGCUGCCUUAAAAGAGAAGUUAAUAUAAUCCAGUCAAGCACAAGAUCUGUUGGCCCUACGCACAUAUUGAAAUCUUUGAAAAGCUACUUUGAGGGUUUAUCCAAAACAACCUCUUUAUCUCCAAAAGAUAUGGAUAAAAUCGGCAUGCACACUAUUCUCCCCAGACCCACUUGUAGAAUUACACUAAUGUGCAUUAAUCAACUACGGUUUAAUGAUAAUAACGCAUGUGAAGACAUAUGGAAAAAUCCUUGGUAGGGAGCACUUUGGUAUGUGCGUUAUCAUGCCGCUUGCCUAAGAUUCGAACUUGUUCCCCGAUUUCUUCCACCUCCCGACGGAGUUCCCCAUUUCUUGUCGUGUCCGGCAUGGUUUCCGGCCAAGGUAAGGUGGCUCUGAUAUCAAAUUGGUAUUUGCUAAAUCAAUUGAGCACAAUACUAUAGCCCUAAGGAACUAAAAUGAGAAGGAUAGUUCCUGAACGAUGCUACAGCUAUGGAAAAUAGAGUAUAAGAUUUGAAGAGAGAAGAGAUAAGAGUUUAUUAUCAAUCAAAAGGUAUAUUCCCCUUUACAAUUGAUUCCCCUUUUAAUCUUCCACUAAUCCUCGGCUAAUAAACGACUAACAACUUCUCUAAUGACUCCUAACAGUAUAACUAACUUUACUGUGUAAUGACUGAACUGCCCUUACUAUCUCUAUACAAUUGGCUAUUGUAUCCCCUUAUCAUAUUGGUACAUAACAAGAUCUCCCUUACUCAAAAGUCCUCGUCCUCAAGGACAAAAGAAGGAAACUGUUGUUUAAAAGAAUGAGCAUCUAACUUAGUGCUAUCCUCAUUGGGACAAUUAAAUCACUUGACUAACAACUGAGUGAUCUACAUGUUGUGUUUCAUGAUCUUCCUGGUCUCCAAAAUCUCCUCUGGUUCCAAUAUAACAUGUCCAUGAGAAGACAAAGUAACUGGAAAGUCUGACACUACUGGAGCAUCACCAAUGUGUUUCUUGAGUUGAGAAACAUGAAAUGUAGAGUGAAUUUUGGCAGAGGUAUGUAGCUGCAAUUGAUAAGCAACAGAACCAACUCUUUUGAGAAUUGGGAAUGGGCCAAAGUACUUGGGGUUGAGCUUGUAGUAGGAAUGGACCUUCAGUGACAUUUGUCUAUAAGAUUGCAACCUUGCAUACACCAUAUCACCAACUGCAAAUUCUAUGAAAGACCUCUUCUUAUCAGCCUGUGCCUUCAUCCCGGACUGAGCGACUGUUAGGUGAUGCUUCAGAAGCCUAAUAGUGCUUUCUCUAGCUUGCAAACUCCUCUCAACUUCGUCCAUCAUAGAGUUGUAGGGAAUAUAAGGCAUGUGAACUGGGGUUUUAUGACCAUACAGAAUUUCAAAGGGAGUUAACUUGGUGGCAAAAUGGCAGAUAGUAUUAUACCACCACUCUGCUGAAGAUACCUAAUGAAUUAAGUCUUUAGGCCUGUCAUUGCACAUACAUCUGAGAUACCUUUCUAAGCAUUUGUUUACAGCUUCAGUUUAGCCGUCAGAUUGUGGAAGAUAAGCAGUUGAGUGGUGCAGCUGGACACCGUGAACAUCAAACAAAGACUGCCAAAAUUUGCUCAUAAACACCACAUCUCUGUCACUCACGAUGGUCUGAGGCAGACCAUGCAAUUUUUAUAUCUUCUCCAAGCAUGCCCGUGCGACAAGCUGCAAUGUAAGGAUGUUUCAAACAAAUGAAAUGGGCAUAUUUGCUCAGCCUUUCCGCUACUACCAUAACUACUGAUAUGCCGUGUGAUUUUUGUAGCCCUUCUAUAAAAUCAAUGCUGAUAUCCUGCCAUACCUUCUCAGGAAUUGGCAGUGGUUGUAACAAUUCAGGACUCUUCACAUGUUCACCUUUGCAAUUCUGGCAUAUUUCACAUCUUUUGACAUGGUCAAACACAUCUACCUUCAGCUUUCUCCAGUAAUACACUUGGCUGACCUUUUUCAAGGUUGCAGUCAUACCACAAUGACCCCUUACUGCUCCAUCAUGUAAUUGUUGUAGUAUUUCCUUUCUCAAUUCUUUAUCUGCACCAGCCACUAUCCUUCCCUUCCUAUAAAGCACCCCAUCCCUCAACAAAUAGAUGGGGUUUAUCAUGGGAUUCUGUUGUAGUUGCUACAUGAGUUGUUGGAGGUGCGCAUCAGCAACAUAGGAAGUUCUGAUCCUCUCAACAAAGUCAGAAGAGACAUGGGAUAUGGUGUGUAGCUGAACUUUUGUUGUAAGUAAUCUAGACAAGGCAUCUGCAACUAAAUUGUCUUGUCCCUUCUUGUAUGUGAUAGUGUAAUCAUACACCAUUAACUUGGCUAACCAUUUCUGUUGACUAGGAGUGGAAAUUCUUUGCUGUAUAAGAUAUUUUAGACUUUGAUGAUCAGUCUUGAUAGUAAAAUGUUUC
rnacentral:lncRNA from 1 species